GGUUUACAAAACUUGUAUAAAUAAUCUCAAAGAUGAAUGGCCUUUCAUUUCUCAUCAUCUAGCAAAGGAUUAAUGGCUUCCUCUACUUCCGUAAAUAUUACCAGAGUUGCUACUGAUUCAAGAAUGAAAACCUUUGGGUCGUGUGAAGCAAUCGUGCACAGAAAGCGUUCAUUUUGUGACGCUUGACAGAGACAAAUAUCUCCUGGAAGGCUCAAGUUUCUGUCGCUCUUCGGGAGAAUGAUCUAUAGGGCUAUGUAAAAAGAAGAGGAUGUGCUUAUUGCGAUUACUUAAUUCCCAAAAUGAUUGGGGAGAAUGAGAAAUGAUUGUUGUAAUCGUUGUGUUUACAUUUAUCUAUUUGCUAUGUAUUUAUACUAAGUAUACAACUUAAUUUGUUAC
rnacentral:lncRNA from 1 species